UGUGCAGGUGGUCUGUUAAGUUGGGUGUUAAAUCUCUUGGCUCAACUGGGAGGUGUCGCUCAAAACUAACAGACUGGAGGACGGUAGAGGAAGGUGGAAUUCCGGGUGUAGUGGUGAAAUGCGUAGAUAUCCGGAGGAACACCAGUGGCGAAGGCGACCUUCUGGACCGCUCCUGACACUCAUACACGAAAGCUAGGGGAGCAAACGGGAUUAGAAACCCCGGUAGUCCUAGCUGUAAACGAUGUGAACUUGGUGUUGGUGGGGUAAAACCUGCCGGUGCCGCAGCAAACGCGAUAAGUUCACCGCCUGGGGACUACGGCCGCAAGGUUAAA
rnacentral:rRNA from 1 species